rnacentral:lncRNA from 1 species
UGACCACCUACUCUGGGCAAAGGAUGCUGCUAGGACAGAAGCUCUAGAAUGUAGCCCCUCCUCCAAAUAAGUAUGAUGCCAUAAACCUAGUAUUUGGAAUAUGGGAGAAAAUAAAUACCAUGUAACUACAACACAAUGUAAUAGAAUGAAUACCAUAAAGGUUACUAAUAAAGUUCUGAUUUCAUUGAUACAGUGACUUGAGGAAUACUAUUUGAUGAUGGACACUGAAAAAAGUUACCUAAAGAAAGCAGUGUUUGAUGGACGCUGGAAUAUAGGAAAAAUUCCAACAUUUAGAAAUGGAAGCGAUAGGCUUUAGACAAGGGGUACAGAAUGAAUUAAAACAUGGGGAUCAGAAAGCACAAAGUGCAUUUGAGAUCAAUUUGAUUACCUUCUGGAAUACUUAAAAGAGGUGACCUACACGGAACAGUUGGAAAUGUUCAGUCUACUUCAGGAAAGUACCAGGGUCUAGAGGUCAGAACGAGAUACUCAGUCUCCAGAGAGGUGAUCCAAAAAACUGCCCAUAGAUUUUAAGAAUAUAGCAAGAGAAUCAUGAAAACAGAGGAUAUGGAGCUCUAAGGUGAAGAAUGCUUCCAGAAGUUGAGAAAGUUGGUCAAGACAAUGAAAUCACAGUGAGGCUAGUGUUUCUGGGAGGAAGAGGUACAGUAAGAGCUGGAGUUUUCACAACUCUUCCCUCCUUGAAAAGAACACUGCUUAUUCCUUUCUGCUUUUUCCCUAAACUCACACAUGCACAAAACCACACACAUAGACAUUUUUUUCCCUAGGAAAAAUUAUGGUAUUAUUAACUCUGAAGCAACUACACUGAAGUAUAAAGAGCAAUCAGUAAAAUCCUAACUUUAUUGUUUGGUUUUUAUUUAAAAGACAAGUGACUUUUUUUGAUAUGCAGGUUAAUUAUUCCUUGGUGGGA